GCCAGACUCCUACGGGAGGCAGCAGUGGGGAAUAUUGCACAAUGGGCGCAAGCCUGAUGCAGCCAUGCCGCGUGUGUGAAGAAGGCCUUCGGGUUGUAAGGCACUUUCAGCGGGGAGGAAGGCAAUAAGGUUAAUAACCUUGUUGAUUGACGUUACCCGCAGAAGAAGCACCGGCUAACUCCGUGCCAGCAGCCGCGGUAAUACGGAGGGUGCAAGCGUUAAUCGGAAUUACUGGGCGUAAAGCGCACGCAGGCGGCCUGGCAAGUCGGAUGUGAAAUCCCCGGGCUCAACCUGGGAACUGCAUUCGAAGCUGGCAGGCUGGAGUCUUGUAGAGGGGGGUAGAAUUCCAGGUGUAGCGGUGAAAUGCGUAGAGAUCUGGAGGAAUACCGGUGGCGAAGGCGGCCCCCUGGACAAAGACUGACGCUCAGGUGCGAAAGCGUGGGGAGCAAACAGGAUUAGAUACCCGAGUAUU
rnacentral:rRNA from 1 species